rnacentral:rRNA from 1 species
GGGCGACCGCUGGCGGCGCGCCUAACACAUGCAAGUCGAACGGAGUGUGAUUCCAACAUUGAGCCUCUGACGGGUUCGGGGGUUGAAUGUUGGGAUUGCACUUAGUGGCGGACGGGUGAGUAACACGUGAGCAACCUGCCUUACAGUGGGGAAUAACAUCCGGAAACGGAUGCUAAUACCGCAUAAUGUACCGGGACCGCAUGGUUCUGGUACCAAAGAUUUAUCGCUGUGAGAUGGGCUCGCGCCUGAUUAGAUAGUUGGUGAGGUAAUGGCUCACCAAGUCGACGAUCAGUAGCCGGACUGAGAGGUUGAACGGCCACAUUGGGACUGAGACACGGCCCAAACUCCUACGGGAGGCAGCAGUGGGGGAUAUUGCACAAUGGGCGAAAGCCUGAUGCAGCGACGCCGCGUGAGGGAAGACGGUUUUCGGAUUGUAAACCUCUGUCUUCGGGGAUGAAAAAUGACAGUACCCGAGGAGGAAGCCCACGGCUAAACUACCUGCCAACAGCCCCGGUAAUACCUAAGGUGCCAAGCGUUGUCCCGGAAUUACUGGGUGU